rnacentral:rRNA from 1 species
AACGAACGCUGGCGGCAGGCUUAACACAUGCAAGUCGAACGGUUGUAGCAAUACAGCAGUGGCAGACGGGUGAGUAACACGUGGGAACCUUCCUAGGGGUACGGAACAACUCAGGGAAACUUGAGCUAAUACCGUAUACGUCCGUGAGGAGAAAGAUUUAUCGCCCUUAGACGGGCCCGCGUAGGAUUAGGUAGUUGGUGGGGUAAUGGCCUACCAAGCCUACGAUCCUUAGCUGAUCUGAGAGGAUGAUCAGCCACACUGGGACUGAGACACGGCCCAGACUCCCACGGGAGGCAGCAGUGGGGAAUCUUGGACAAUGGGCGCAAGCCUGAUCCAGCCAUGCCGCGUGAGUGAAGAAGGCC